AAAUUUUCUCAAAAUGUUUAGUUGAAAAUAGGAAGCUUAAAAAAUAUACUUCUCAUAGCAAACCAUGAAAUUCUAUCAUUGCAACCCUGUAACUUGAAAGUACAGUAUUGACGUUGAUGUGUUCGAGUAUGUUUACACCAUUUAAAUUUAGGAAGUUUUUUAAGCAGGAGACAUUUUCCCACUACCACUACUGUAAAGCAUAUAGUACUUGUUUACUCCCUUAAACUAUUGAAAAUAUUGAGUGAUACAUUUUUAAAACCGUGAUAUUAGAAAUUACAAAUAAAUACAAGUUUUACCAGUAUUGCAACGGUAAACUUUAUUUAAAACAUAUUUCAAGCCUAGAUAAACUCAUCAUAAAUACCAAGAUUAAAGUAUUGUACCCCCAGCCUGCGCGUUACGUCUACGAAAGACUCAUCAGUGAUGCUCUAAUCAAAACAGUUAGACAAAACAAAUAAGGUUCGAAAAAUGUAAUAAAGUUUUUCCAAUCGAUUAUAGUGAGGGUACACUAUUACCUUAUUUCCUCAGAUUAGAAAUUUAUACUUGUUUCAAUAACUGCGUUUUUGAAGAUUUAUAAUUAAACAAGAAUGUGUCCAUAGUACACGGAUGCCCCACUCGCACUAUCAUUUUACAUGUUCACUGGACCAUACUUUAAUUUGACAUUAAAAUUAGAAAGACCAUAUCAUAGGGAACAUGUGUACUAAGUUUCAAAUUGAUUGGACUUUAACUUCAUCAAAAACUACCUCGACUAAAAAUUUUAACAUGAAGCGGGACGAACGAACGAACGGACGAACGAACAGAGGCACAGACCAGAAAACAUAAUGCCCCUCUACUAUCGUAGGUGGGGCAUAAAAAGAAAAUUUCAUGGUAUGCUUAAAUCAUUAUUCUGCAAAGAGCUUUAGGCUAGAAUUAUAUAUUAAAUUGAUUAUCACCAAAAACUACGAUAAUAAUAUUACAUGUACUACAAAAUCACAAUUAUUUGCUAAAUUAUGUUUUAACUGACUUUUUUACAAUUUGUAAAAUAUAACAUAACUGUUAACUUGUCAACAACCAACAUGACCGAGGUAACAAAUUCAAUGCAUUACAAACAAAUAUGCAAACCGAAGUUAGAAGUAACAACGGCCAUAUAUGCAAUUGUAUACUGCAACUAUUUCUGUUUAUUUCCUAACUAUAGUAACAAAGCUAUAUUUUGUACAAUGUCAAUUUCAUCAUGGAACACUUUCUCCACAAUCAGGGGUUCAUUAAGCGAUAAAAAUAAGUUUGACAUCUGUGUUACGAUUUAAAAAGUUAUUAAUGAGUUAAUUAAAGUAUAAAAACAAUAUCAGGUCAAUGUCAGAAAAAUAUAAACUUUUUUUCUAUUCGGCACAAAACUUGAGAAUGGCUCGAUACAACCUCGCCCUUCCCAUGUUUCUCAGCCUCAUACAAUUUUAUUUUAUAUUUUUCUGACAUUGACCUAAUAUUGUAUAUUUAUAUGUAUGUCAAUAUAUGUCGUUCAAAAUUUUAAAUUUAAAAAGAGCUUGUUUAUUG
rnacentral:lncRNA from 1 species